CCUUUUUUUGCUAAUUACUCGACCAAAUAACUAAGAAUAAAAUUUCUAGCGAAUGAAAAUAAGAUUACUUUUCUUCACAUCAGCAAGUGAAAAUAAGAUUAUUUUUCUUCACAUCAAUAGCUACUUUUACUUACAAAAAUAUUUAUUUGAGGAAAUAAUUAAAAGUACAAACUCUCAUACAUAAAAGUUUCAAUUAUCAUGAACAAAUAUAAUAAUUUAGAAACAUUACAUUACA
rnacentral:lncRNA from 1 species